GUUAAUUUGGGACUUCAAAUCCUUUUUUAUUGUUUAAUUUGUCAAUCUACAAAAUAGUAAAAUAGGUUUUAAAAAAAAAAGUACUCCAAGAGAUUACUAGUGAAGGGCCAGUAAACAUUUGUGCCUUUGAAAUGUAGUGUUACCUGCAUUUGCAUGUUUUUCGGCCUGUGCACAAAUAUUCAACUAUAGAUAGUAUACAAUGCACAAACAGCCCUACUAUCACUCAGAUUUGAGCUUGAAUGUCAAAUGGCAUCCCUACCCAUUUCAUGAAUAAAAAUGUGACUAAUAAUUGACAGCUACUAGUUGCUACAAAUACUAGUAGUAGUGUUUAGUAAUUCAGGUAUAGUGCUUGUGGGGUCGGAUAUGAUGAUGUUGUGUAGCAAGGGUGGCUUGGUUAUGUUUUCUCCUCCGGCGAAUAAAUCGCCAAAUCCAGCGCGGCACUUUUGAUGACAUUGAGGAUGAUUGGAGGUUUUUUUUAUUUCAUUUUAUUUUUUGACUUUAUUAUCUGUAUUUUUCCUCCCCUAGUCGAUUUCAUUCGGGCUUUUUCCUACAGUGAGCUGAGCUUACCUUAGAGAUACUCUACUGCCGCGUCUGUCGCUGAUCCGAUAUCUGAACUUGUUUUUCGAUCUGCUUUGUUGUAUAUGUCAAUUGAGCUUGCAAUGUGUACGUGCUCGUGUCUAGAUGAUCAGUAGUUUUUGGUUAAUUCUUGUAUUAUGUGAUGAAAUCAUUUGUAAUGUCUUUAGACUUUGAAUGAAAUUUUCAAUAUUCCCAAAAUGUUUUUCUUUUUUGGAAAACCCCCAAACUAUAUUACAUUAAAAUAAUAGAGCUACAAGAAUGUUGCAUUUUUACAAGAUAAGGAACAGUCACGCUACCGGUAUCAGACAACAAAACAUUAACCAAAAAGCUUGGGGCCGGGCAAACUAUAUACACAACAAAACCAUGCUACCUUAGCACUUCCUGUUUGGCCAAAACAUCCGCGGCCUGGUUGGCCUCGCGGUAACCAAAAGUCAGCUUCAAACUAUUGAAGCUAUGCACUAGAGAGAGACAAUGUUGCCGAAGGCCUUGCAGACACCUCACUUGAACCUGUUUCCUGCCAAAAGCAUUAAAAACAAAGCAAGAAUCAGUUUCCACAAUUAAAUUAGUGAAACCGAAAACCAAAGCCAACCAUAAAACCAUUCCUUACCACCCAUAAUUCAACAACCAUAUUGGAGUUGAUAAGGAUUGACCGUUGACAAGCACGAAGAAACUAACCCUGAUAAUCACGGAAAAAACCACCCAAACCAGAAGACCCUGGGUUAGACAUAGAUGAUCCAUCGACAUUAAGUUUAGAGUGGGUUGACAAAGGUGGGAUUCAACUUAUCCGUAAUGUAGUAGGGUAAAUGACGUUGGAUGGUGCAAUAGAAAAAACUUCAUUAUAAUAUAGCUUAAGAUAACGAGUAGCAGCCAGCAAGGGCGGAGGGAGCAUAGGACCAGGGGUCACGUGCCCCCCUGGAUUUUUGGAUCAUGUCACUAUUAUCCCUUUAGAUGAUAUUAUUGCACCAAUUCCUCUUUAUGUAUAAAAAUUACCAAACAAAUCACUCAUAUGUUUACAAAUAAUGAAAGCAACCUGUUACUUAAUGUAUUUUACAACCUCCUCUCUCUUAAUUAUAGUUAUUUGUCACACAACUAAAAUAAGAUUAAGCUUUUGAUUAUUUAGUUUUUGUAUCUGAUCUCUAUUAAUUAAGUUGUGUUCUUAGAUGCUUGGGACCUAGAUUUAUAAUUUAAUUGUUGGGACUUUUCAUUAUGCUUUUGAUUUCUUCAAUUAAUGGUGAUUGUGUGUUAAAAGUAGGGAACACAUCUCUAUAAUUUAAGAAACUAGUAUCAUGCUUAAGUUGGGUAAAUAUUUUGAAGAUUAUGAUCAAGAA